UUUUACAAAAUAUAGUAUUAAGUCUGCAGUUUUAGCAAAAAGUGUAUAUAUAUAUAUAUGUGUGUGUGUGUGUGUGUGUGUGUGUGUGUGUGUGUGUGUGU